AUAAAUCGCUAGGGGUGCAGUAAGCGCUGAGAGGAGGACAUCCAACCCUAUGAACCUGCUCCGGGUAAUGCCGGCGGAGGGAAGCGGCCUGCCCGGAUU
rnacentral:ncRNA from 2 species